rnacentral:rRNA from 1 species
UGGUGCGACCAUACCAGCACUAACGCACCGGAUCCCAUCAGAACUCCGAAGUUAAGCGUGGUUGGGCGAGAGUAGAACUAGGUUGGGUGAACCCCUGGGACAUCCUCGUGUUGUACUCC